UGGGGAAUUUUGGACAAUGGGGGCAACCCUGAUCCAGCAAUGCCGCGUGAGUGAAGAAGGCCUUCGGGUUGUAAAGCUCUUUUGUCAGGGAAGAAACGGUGGUCUCUAAUACAGAUUGCUAAUGACGGUACCUGAAGAAUAAGCACCGGCUAACUACGUGCCAGCAGCCGCGGUAAUACGUAGGGUGCGAGCGUUAAUCGGAAUUACUGGGCGUAAAGCGUGCGCAGGCGGUUGUGCAAGACAGAUGUGAAAUCCCCGGGCUUAACCUGGGAAUUGCAUUUGUGACUGCACGGCUAGAGUGUGUCAGAGGGGGGUAGAAUUCCACGUGUAGCAGUGAAAUGCGUAGAUAUGUGGAGGAAUACCGAUGGCGAAGGCAGCCCCCUGGGAUAACACUGACGCUCAUGCACGAAAGCGUGGGGAGCAAACAGGAUUAGAUACCCCCGUAGUCC
rnacentral:rRNA from 1 species